UGGGGAAUAUUGGGGCAAUGGGGGAAACCCUGACCCACGCAACGCCGCGUGAAGGAAGAAGGCUUUCGGGUUGGUAAACAUUCUUUUAUCCACGGGAGCGAAGGACGUGACGGUACCUGGAGAAAAAGCAACGGCUAACUACGUGCCAGCAGCCGCGGUAAUACGUAGGUUGCAAGCGUUGUCCGGAUUUACUGGGUGUAAAGGGCGUGUAGGCGGAGAAGCAAGUUGGGAGUGAAAUCCAUGGGCUCAACCCAUGAACUGCUCUCAAAACUGUUUCCCUUGAGUAUCGGAGAGGCAAGCGGAAUUCCUAGUGUAGCGGUGAAAUGCGUAGAUAUUAGGAGGAACACCAGUGGCGAAGGCGGCUUGCUGGACGACAACUGACGCUGAGGCGCGAAAGCGUGGGGAGCAAACAGGAUUAGAUACC
rnacentral:rRNA from 1 species